AGAAGUUUACGACGCCGAGGGACGAAAGGUCAUUUCUGAGGGAACUGCGAAGUAAUAAGUUUGAAUCCUUACUAGACAGCAUGUUGUCAUGUAAAAAGAAGCUAAAUAAUGGAACAUAAACAAAAACAUGGCUAUAAAAGUCAUGAAAAAUACCAAUUUUCAAGCGUUAUAAGAAGAAAAUGCUCUCUCAAAGCAAAAAUUAAUCAUCGACGAUGAGUACAAUGGCUUCUCCUUGAAUGUUACGCAUUUUUGAAAGUAACUUGAAUAAAUGCAAUAUUUUAAUAAAAUUGUAGCAUUUUCGUCGAUGAAGUAAACUUUUUUUGAAACUUAAAAGUUUGAAUUCAUAAUUUCUUUUAUAAAUUUUUUUGUUAUACAAACGUGAAAUCAAAAAAUUGUAUUUGUUUGGACAGCUCUAAAAUGUUUGGAAGGUCAUGUGACUUUGCAGUUGUUAGGCCAUACAACCCUUCUGAAUAUUUUGCUGUUAUAAUCAGGAAAAUCGAAAGAAUCCUGUGUUUUUGUGGUUAUGAUUCAUAAGUUGAAGCAUUUUCUUAACUUUUUAUUCCAUUUUAGGUAAACGUAGGCCUAGAUUAUUUGUAGAAAGACGGUCCAAAUCUGAAAAAUUUUCCGUUGCAAAACCGAAUCCAACGCAAAGCCAUAAUUCGUUUAUCGAAUUCGUCCCAAUACUUUUGUAUAUUAAAGCUUUGUUGAUAUAAAAGGACAUUGUCUCAAUGAAUUUUGCAUAGCCCGGUCCACGGUUUAAAGUUUAUGACAAUCGUGCUUUUCGUCAAAAUGGACGUCACUGGGCUCGAUUUCGAAAGGCAAACAUCGGUUACCAUGACAAAGUUCGCGUGCCUGGGAAGUUUCAAGGAGUGAAUCGUUUUUUUUGCAAUAAAUUAUUUGAAACACUCUUCUUAUUUUAAACUAAGUAGCGUAGCUUGCCAAAAUGGAUCCCUAUUGUAGUCAACGAGACGAACAGCUAGCAGAAGCAGUUAGAUCUUACCCAUGUUUGUAGGAUAAAGGUAAAUUGACUGCAAAUGCAAAAAUAUUGUUGCUCAUGCCUGGAGUAAAGGGCUGCUUUCUUGUUAGGGGCGCCAUGUUGAUUAUAAAAACAAUUUUUUUAGCGCUAAUCGUUUUAUUCGUGCAGUGGAAACUGCCAUCACAAUUGCGACUUUCGCGUUUGUCGCCCUAAUCGUGAUAAUCGUGGCGCGAUAAUCACGAUUGAAUCAUGUUUCCACUAGACUAGACCACAGAAUAGACGAUUGUCACGAUAAAAGCGAAAAGUCAUUUGAAUUUGUCGCCUUUAUCGCGAUAAUCGCCCAGUGGACAAAGCUUUAGGGGUCUGGAGCACAAGCUAUUCGUCACAUGCUCGUCACAUGCUAGACACAGGGAAACAAUGGGGAAACUUCUGAAGCAAUUUUUCAUUUCCCGGAAAACAUUUCGUGUUCGAGUAGACAGGUAGAGAGCCUAAAGAAGGGGCAAAUAAGAAGUUAUAUUAUACCGUUUAAAUAUUUCAAUUAAGACUAAGAUGGAAAUGACUGGACAGGAGAUUAGUAGGGAAUCCAGUGGAAAAGCUGAAAAUCCCAGUGAAGUUGAUGCUGUGUUGGGUUCUUCAAACGAGAAUGGCGAGGAUGCUUUGAGGAAAUAUGCCGACAAGCAGCUUCAGCGGACAUACGAAUUAUUUGAAAAAUUCACGGAAAAAUCAGAAGCCGCCUACACCUCAAUGAAAGAAGAUUAUGAAAUGUUGAAAAAUAAAGAAACUAAUUAUAAAGAGAUGACAAAGAAGCUGGAUGAUGUUCAUUUCGUUGAUGUAGUAAAGCUCGAUGUUGGAGGGGAAGAGUUCAAAACAGGAUUACAAACAUUGCUAAAGUAUCCUGAUAGUUUGUUCGCUACCCAGUUCUCUCAAAGUUUAAAGCUGAAACAGACAUCUAACGAAUCCUUCUUUAUUGAUAGAGAUGGAUCAUACUUCAGGCAUAUAAUGAACUAUAUGCGAACAAGCACUGUUACUCCAAAAAUGAAAGAGCUAAAGGCUGAAUUGAUGGAAGAGGCAAAAUUCUUUGGUCUAUCUGGCCUGGUCAAAAUGUUGUCUGAAGAGGAACCAGAACUAGAGAAAGGAGAGGCUGGUGGUGAAGAAAACAAGGAUGUUGGGAUGAUUAUCCUUGAGGAUCAUUCAAAUCAGACAAGUAAACUGCUUGAAGAUGCAAAAAAAUCAUUAAAAGAAGGACAGGAUGCCCUGAAAAAUGAUAUUAAUCUGUUAGAAGAGUCAAAAGAGAAUUUUCUUAAAAUGUCUGAAAGAUUGCAAGACGUCCACUUUUCUGAAAUGAUCCAGUUGAAUGUUGGUGGGCAUAUUUUCAAAACUAGCAUCAGUACAUUGCAAAAAUACCCAAACACCAUCCUGGCUACAAUGUUCUCCCAACGAUUCAAAUUGGAAAAACAGAAAGACGGAUCAUACUUCAUAGACCGUGAUGGGACACAUUUUAGACAUAUAUUGAAUUACCUAAGGUUUGGAAGGUUACCAAGAAAAGUAAUUGAUGAGAUUGGAGAUGAAUUGUUAGAAGAAGCAAAAUAUUACAAUAUUGAAGGAUUGUAUAAGGAAAUAUGGAAUAUGCCAUCAAUUGAAUUGAAAGUUGGGAGCAAAAGCUACUACACAACAAGAAACAUUGUGCAUAAAGAUGAAUCUUUUGCAAGUACAAUUUUUGGCAGUCCAACAGAUGGUGGAGCAUAUCUGAUUCAAGGGGACAUAAAACACAUGGAAGAAAUACUUAAGUUCCUUGAGAAUGGUGAAUUACCAAAAGACAUUGCCUUUCUAACUCUUUCACGAUUGUCCUUGGAAGCCCAAGUCCUGAAUAUGCUCAAUCUCCAAAGAUACCUGAGUUCAUUCCAAACAUCAUGGUCUCUUCCAUAAUAAACAUUAGGUCUCAAACAUUUUAAGGUACCCUCCCCCCAAGUGUAUUUCAGUAAAAAUUGAAAAUUUGAUGAAACUGAAAAUUUGCGUUAGUUAAAUACCUAUUUAUAUUGAAUAUUUUAAUUUUGUUUACGGUUAGAUUGGUCAGAUUUUUCUCAGAAAGAAUUUUUGACACAUGAUCAAAAUCCAGAUUUGGGACAAAUGUAUUUUAGUUCAGGCAAAUAUGCAGCGAUUAUUACAUUCAGGUACGGAAGUCCAUAUGAGGAUUGCUAAUAUAUUCCGGGCCCGGGGGUUACUCCCAUUAUGGCCUAACAGAGAGGUCCAGUCAGGGUCAAUGAGGGUCAAAGCUAAAAUAUUAAAAAAUUACCCUCAAAUGGUAGUGUUUUUUGACAAUAACCCUCAAAUGGUAGCACAAGAAAGCAAAAUAUUUCAUUAGUAGCAUUCACUUUUUGAUACCCACCUGGUUCUUCUUUGACAAAUUUAUUCGCCAUUGACUGUUGUUGAUUCGGGAAAGACAAAACCUCGCUCAUCGUCUAUAAUAAAUCGCAAGCUAAACUAAGCCGUUGUGUUAUUAUCGAAACUGGGCCAUUUGGAAAGACCCUCAAAUUGACUGGACCCCCCCCCCCGCCCCCCGCCAGGCCUCAAUAAAUGGGAGUACCCCCUGGGGGCCAGGGCCAAAAAGCUCUAACUCUCAAUGCGGCCCAGGUUAAUUACGACACAUUUUGAAAUCCAAUUUUGCAAUUUUGAAUUCGCUUUUUGCAUUAAUUUGUGUAUGGUUAUUUCGUGUACUGCGUCCGUGUAACAAGUUAUAAAAAAGAAUAAAAGAAAAAUUUGUUUUUGAACAGUUUAGGAGAGCAAUCUGCAGUCCCCCUUGAGCAUUUGCAGGGAGCCCGGAGCACUGAUCAAGUCUUGGAUACAUUCCAGCAAAUAACCGGAAGUAAUGUUUCAGAAAGCAUGAAAAAUGCACGUUCAGCAAAUGUUGACCUAUGAAUUUUUCAAAUCUGAUGAUUUUAUCAGAACGAGCUUGUAAAACUGAGUAAAAAACAUCAUUGUUUCCUACCGUAAUUUGACGUGCUGAAUAGAAUAAGAUGCAACUUUCAGAUGCAGUUUAAAAAUCAUAGAUAUUUUAGACUUUGGUACUUGUACCCGGGCUGCUGUUGGAUAUCGCAGUAUAACCUUACAACUAUGCACGUUGUACAACUGAAACUAUGUUUAAAGAACAGUUUGUAUAUUUGAGAUUCGUCUUUCUAUGUUUCCGUUGUUUUUGGCCGUUUCUGCAACAGGAUGGAAUAUAUCACCGAUCAUAACCACGAAACAUUUAGUGUUCGAGCUGCAUGAAAAGUCGAGGCACGACAUUCAAACCAACAAGCACAUAUUUUGGUCGACGAGGCACGUCCAUGCCUGUAGGCAGAUUGCGACAAUGAGAGCUUCUUAUUCAGUUUGAAAUCACUGGAAUGGGACGAGCCACUUUUUUGAAAGCAAAUGGUGAUAAUGUAGCUGGAACUCGUGUUCGAGGCAAUUGUAUUAUUCUUAAGAAUCCAAGCUAUCAUCGACGGAAACGAGAAUCCUCUUUACAUUUUUUUUCUCUCCAACAAAAUACAGACGUUCUGUGCUUUGAUGAAUUCGACACAGACGUUUCCUGCAUAUUCAAAUACAAUGCAGAGGCCUACAAGUGCAAUGAUCCAGUGCCUGCCACAAAUACUCUUCUUGCUGGAGAAGAAAACUGUCUUCUCGAAAGAAUGGAGAUUUUUGCUGUUUAAUAUCAAAAACACAUAUGAUAAAGAUUCAAUUAAAAAACUGAACUGCCUGGCUCAUUUAGUUAUCUUUAGUUAUCUUAAGGCUUAUGCAUGAUUAUGUGACAUUGUAUUUUAGAUGGGCCAUACCUCUUUGCAUUUAGUCAAAGUUGUUAUAGUCAAAACUUAGCCAAAGUUAUAGUUGGAUGUUGUGGCGGAGGAUCUAUCUUAAAUUAUUUUUUACAUGCAGGUAUUUACUGUGUAAUAUUUUGAUUUAUCGGAAUCAAUUUUAUUUUUAAAAUGAAAAGACAUUUAACACGGUUCAAAUAGAAUUUCAAAUGAAAAAUUAUUGAAAGAUAAAAUUAAAAUCAAUUCACCCACCAAACAGUGCCAGCUCGAAUCCCGUGGGCAACUUUCAAUGCCUUGUUCAAGUCAUUUGUCUGAACAGCUGCUGCCAAACCAUACAUGGUUUUGUUUCCCCGCUCAAUAACUUCAUCUGCUGUUUUAAAUUUCAUGAUUUGUUGUACUGGUCCAAAGAUCUGAAAAAGUUCAAAUGAAUGAUUAAAUAUGAUGUGAAAGUACACGAGAGCAGCAAGCCCUUCCUUGAUUUCCACAUUCAUAGUUUGCUUCAAUUGAUAAUACAGUAAAACCCAAGAAGGAAUGGUUCAAUCUAUCCAAUGAGUAUUUUCAUUAAGUUUUAUUCGUUGAGAUUAGACUGUAGACGAGUUUUUUCGUACUAGCAGAUAUAUUAUAACUGUUUUUUGUGUAUAGAAAAGGACAAUUCUAAGUUGCUAUUCGAUUCUUAGCUGCUGAAAUGUUUUCAAUUUGUGAUGAUUUGCUGAUCUCCAUUUAUUUCAAAAUAUUUGGGGGGCGCUCUUUGGAGUGGGGGGGGCGGUCGUACAUAAAUUUUAUCAAAAGGGGGCCCUUAUUUGAAAAGGGCAUUCAAUGGAGAGAGAAAGCUGUAACUGUUAAAACUUAUCUCUCCUUGAGUGUUAUUCUAUGUGGUUGUUAUGUCCCUGGAUGUAUCAGGAAUUUCAAUGCUUUUAUGGCGUCAAUUAGGGGAAAAUUAUGUAUCAAAUUACUGGCAGUUAUACAAUAGAAACUUAUUCUGUUGUCGGCAUUUAGAAAUUAGUUUCGGUCUUUUGUAUAGGAUGGAAUUCUUACUAGAA